CCCCGGUGAACGGCGGCCGUAACUAUAACGGUCCUAAGGUAGCGAAAUUCCUUGUCGGGUAAGUUCCGACCUGCACGAAUGGUGUAACGACUUGGGCACUGUCUCGGCCAUGAGCUCGGUGAAAUUGUGGUAUCGGUGAUGACGCCGAUUACCCGCAGCGGGACGAAAAGACCCCGUGAACCUUUACUACAACUUUACAUUGGCUUUAGCUGUCGCAUGUGUAGGAUAGGCGGGAGACUUUGAAGCGGCGUCGCCAGGCGUUGUGGAGUCACGCUUGAAAUACC
rnacentral:rRNA from 11 species